rnacentral:rRNA from 1 species
GGUACGCGAGCUGGGUUCAGAACGUCGUGAGACAGUUCGGUCCCUAUCCGUCGUGGGCGUAGGAAAUUUGAGAGGAGCUGUCCUUAGUACGAGAGGACCGGGAUGGACAUACCUCUGGUGUACCAGUUGUCGUGCCAACGGCAUAGCUGGGUAGCUAUGUGUGGACGGGAUAAGUGCUGAAAGCAUCUAAGCAUGAAGCCCCCCUCAAGAUGAGAUUUCCCAACUUCGGUUAUAAGAUCCCUCAAAGAUGAUGAGGUUAAUAGGUUCGAGGUGGAAGCAUGGUGACAUGUGGAGCUGACGAAUACUAAUCGAUCGAAGACUUAAUCAA